rnacentral:rRNA from 1 species
UACGUAGGUGGCAAGCGUUGUCCGGAUUUACUGGGCGUAAAGAGCGCGCAGGCGGUCGUUCAAGUCGCGUGUGAAAGCCCCCGGCUCAACUGGGGAGGGUCACGCGAUACUGAUCGACUCGAAGGCAGGAGAGGGUAGUGGAAUUCCCGGUGGAGCGGUGAAAUGCGUAGAGAUCGGAAAGAACACCAACGGCGAAAGCACUCUGCUGGGCCGACACUGACACUGAGAGACGAAAGCUAGGGGAGCGAAUGGG